UCAUCGUAGGGGUUAGUCGGGACCUAAGCCGAGUCCGAGAGGGGUAGGCGAUGGAAAAUCGGUUAAUAUUCCGAUACCAAUUACAGAGCGCGAUGGAAGGACGCUUAGGGCUAAGCGAGGUCACUGAUGGAAUAGUGGCUCGAAGGGUGUAGGUUGAGAUAUAGGCAAAUCCGUAUCUCUCUAUCCGAGACCUGACAGGCACCUGAAGUUCUUCGGAACGGAAGGUGAAUCGCUGAUGCCGUCGAGCCUAGAAAAGUUUCUAAGUAUAUCUGUAAUUGCCCGUACCGUAAACCGACACAGGUGGGUGAGAUGAGUAUUCUAAGGCGCGUGGAUGAACCCUGGUUAAGGAACUCUGCAAAAUAGCACCGUAUCUUCGGUAUAAGGUGUGCCUCCUUGGGUGUAGGGGACUUGCUCUCCGAAGCCCGAGAGGUUACAACAAAGAGUCCCUCCCGACUGUUUAC
rnacentral:rRNA from 1 species